rnacentral:lncRNA from 1 species
GGACCAGGGCUGGGAGCAGGAAAGCUGAGAAUGUGCUGGAAAUGCUUGUUGAGGCCGACGUGUCAGGCAGCCCAUCAGUGCAGGAUGGAGCCUCGGUUGCAGAGAACUGCAGGGAGGUGGUGUGGAAGCUCAUUGGCUGUAAGAACUGCUCCGCUGCGACAGUGCUGCUGGAGGUGGUGGUGAACAGGUACACCCACUGCAGCCUGGAGAGGUGGAUGUUGACGCAAAGUCUAUGAGUCUCUUGUGCAGCCAGCUCAAGGCUGGCUCUUCAGGAUGUUUGUGUCCUGCUUCCCAAAGAGCCUUCAGGCUUCAGAGGUCAUCUUCUCCAUUCCCCUGGCUCUACCACACAAGCCACCCUGGAUGAGGAGAGGUUCAUGCCAGAGAGGGGUCGGGAUUCUCCAAGCCCUGGCUGCAGGAGAAUUUUUGGAGCAUGGGGGCUGUCAUCUGACCAAAGAUGAAAAUACCACCUAACAGACGAGGCAAGGCCCACCGUGGGGCUGGGUGGCUGGUGGAGCAACAGAAAGGAACAUGUGGGUGAGAAAUGAGGGGAGGAUGCAGUCCAGUUCCCGGGUCCAGGGACCCAGGUUCCCCCGAACUUCCCACCAGUCCCAGCUUCUUUAGAGGAUGUGGCCCAGCCAAGGCUGUGGGGGUCUGGGGGCAGUGGGCCCAAGAAUAACUCUUACUUAUGUAGGUCUCUUCUCAAAGGAGCUUGGCCAUGGUGACGGUGAUGAGAAUGUUCACCAGAGCCACAUUUUUACAAUCUUUAUAUAAUGUGGUGACUCGUUUCCUAAGACCUGAAAAUACUUCCUCCUUAUCCUCACACCUCGUCCCAGAUAAAAUGGCAAUGCCAAAGUGGCAAAGCAGAAAGCAGUGACUUACCUGAGGCCCCAGAGCAAGCUGGGCAAGCUCCAUGAAAACCAGCUUUUCAGCCUGAGCCCAGAUAUUAUCUUUGAUCCUGGACCCCAUUGCCCUGGCUGACCAAGCCUCGGCAUAUUUGAUGGAAGUGUUGCAAUUCUGGCUCCCCUCAUUUUCAGAAAUUAGUUUCUAGGACUUCUUACUUUUUAAUCCAUCCCCUGAUAAAGACCCAGUUAAGUCUGAACCAUCCAUCAUGAUGUUCAUUUGGCUUAAGAUAUAAAAGUUUUCAGAGCCCACAUUCAAAACUCUAAAAAUAUCUUCCUCUUUUGAUCUAGGUGGCAUCUGUCCUGGUCAUCGGCCUCGGGUCCAGAUGGCCUGAAUUAUCUGUCUCUCUCAUGCAGUCUUUGCUAAAAGAGAAGGUCUGGUGUAAAUAAUUUAAACCCCAUUCCCUUCCCCUCUCUGCAGAUUUCUGAUGCCAAGCUGAUCAUCGUCUCAGCACCAGCAAAGACAUGCUAUUCCCGUCCCUGACGAGCAUUUCCUUCUUGAGAAAGUGAUUUUGAGGGGCUGCAGAUGUACUUGGAGGAAGGUUUGGGCCGGGACAGAUGACGUGCCCAUGUGGGAGCUGGACGGCCCCUCUCUGGGUAGCUCCCUGGGAACUCCCAUGUCCGCCUCCCGCUGCCUCCUGAUCCAAGGUGGAUGCACUUCAUUUGAGGCCUGGUCUUUCGUCCUUCCCUCUCCUCUUCGGGGACCACUUUGUCUAGUGCUAGACUCAUUGUGCUUCCCCCUUGGGGCUUCCUUCAGCCCUCAGCCGAUUCAAGACUUCAAAAGGAAGUUGGACAUGGAGAGGAAAAAAGAAAUGAAACCAGGAAGGAACCGCCAAGAAGCACACAACGCGUUUAUGCUGCCUUAACCACACGCUUGACUCUAAAUGGGUUUAAAAAUUCUUACUUGUGUUAGCCCAAGAAAGUUUCUGCAGCCGUCUUUUUGGUUUAAACAAUCAAAUACUCAAUAAUUCUGGGGCUGGUGGGCCAGGAUAUGGGUUACUCAGAUCUUCUGCUUCACCCCAUGCUCGGUCCCUGAGCCAGUUCUGUCAUUGGUUCUUUCAGACCAGGGCAGGAAAAGUCAAGAAAGCAAAAGCGGAUUCUAGGCUGUGGGGUUUGCUGUUUGCUAGCCCCCUGGCAGAGAUGCCUGUCCUUGCAGUCCUGAACUGGUGGCCAAGUGUGCAUGCAUGCACGUGCAGGUGUGUGCAUGUGCAGGUGUGCAUGCGUGUAUGUGCGCACACACAUUCAUGCUUGUACAUGUUUGUGUACACGCACACUUUUUUCUGCUUUCAAUUUCAAGCUGUUGCCUCCCUGAUGUGUCUGUUUAGUGACUUGAGCCAGAAAGAUUCCCGGUUCUAUGUGGGAUGAGAAUGAACGCAGGCAGGUCUCCACAGAAGUGAGUAAAGUAGAGCUGAGAAGAAGGACAUUGUCUCAUGCCAGCCUGUCCAAUAGCCACUUUGCCCCAGCCCUGCCUCAAGCCCCAGAGAGAUGACAAGGCUCUCUCUGUUUGUCGACUCCUUGAAGCUCAGAAAGGUGGGUCAAGAGGUGCCCGUCAAGCGUUUAGGCAAGCACAGGACCCUGAUCUUUACUAAGUCUCCACAUCUCUCUUGCACAGCCCUGGGCUCAGGGCUUGGUCCCCUCUGGGCAGGCCAUCCAGACUAAGUGACAGUCAGAUUGUGUGUGGGGAGGCUAGAGACAUCCAUUCUUCAUGGAUCAGCCUGAAUGGCUGGACAGAUCUUGCAAAUGGAUUGUGUAAGACAGAGUGUGGAAGAGGAGGCUGUGAUCAGUGGCUUGGAGAGCAGAGUGUGGUCAGGCGCUAAACCUAAGGCUUUUCUGGGAAGAGCUGUUAAGAUUAGACUGUUCUCCCAAAAAGCCAAUAAUUCUGAGUGUCUCCAUUAAUGCCUAGGUAGCCCAUACUCUCACCCAGCCGGUGCCCUUCAGCCUGGAACCUUUGGAUGGAGGAUUGGACCUUGUGACCUUCAAGUUCCCUUCCGAACCAAAUAUGCUCUAACCCAGGAGAUGGUGCUGUUGCCCAGGAAGCCGGUCACCAUGACGAGAGUACCCGCUCAGAUGAGGAUGCAGGCGGAGGCGGUGAAGGUGCUGGAGGCCAGGAUGCUGAG